UCGAGUUAUACAGCUCAUACAACCCUGUGAACAUACCUAAACUGUUGCUUCGGCGGGACAGACGGGUCCCCCCGGGGAAGCCUACCGGCCCCGCCCCCCUACCAGAGGGACGGGCCGCCGGGAUACCAACUCUAUUUUUAACGAAUGUUUCUUCUGAGUGAAACAAGCAAAUAAUUA
rnacentral:misc_RNA from 1 species